GUCGAGCGGUAGCACAGAGAGCUUGCUCUCGGGUGACGAGCGGCGGACGGGUGAGUAAUGUCUGGGAAACUGCCUGAUGGAGGGGGAUAACUACUGGAAACGGUAGCUAAUACCGCAUAACGUCGCAAGACCAAAGUGGGGGACCUUCGGGCCUCAUGCCAUCAGAUGUGCCCAGAUGGGAUUAGCUAGUAGGUGGGGUAACGGCUCACCUAGGCGACGAUCCCUAGCUGGUCUGAGAGGAUGACCAGCCACACUGGAACUGAGACACGGUCCAGACUCCUACGGGAGGCAGCAGUGGGGAAUAUUGCACAAUGGGCGCAAGCCUGAUGCAGCCAUGCCGCGUGUAUGAAGAAGGCCUUCGGGUUGUAAAGUACUUUCAGCGGGGAGGAAGGCGAUAAGGUUAAUAACCUUGUCGAUUGACGUUACCCGCAGAAGAAGCACCGGCUAACUCCGUGCCAGCAGCCGCGGUAAUACGGAGGGUGCAAGCGUUAAUCGGAAUUACUGGGCGUAAAGCGCACGCAGGCGGUCUGUCAAGUCGGAUGUGAAAUCCCCGGGCUCAACCUGGGAACUGCAUUCGAAACUGGCAGGCUAGAGUCUUGUAGAGGGGGGUAGAAUUCCAGGUGUAGCGGUGAAAUGCGUAGAGAUCUGGAGGAAUACCGGUGGCGAAAGCGGCCCCCUGGACAAAGACUGACGCUCAGGUGCGAAAGCGUGGGGAGCAAACAGGAUUAGAUACCCUGGUAGUCCACGCCGUAAACGAUGUCGAUUUGGAGGUUGUGCCCUUGAGGCGUGGCUUCCGGAGCUAACACGUUAAAUCGACCGCCUGGGGAGUACGGCCGCAAGGUUAAGACUCAUAUGAAUUGACGGGGGCGCGCACAAGCGGUGGAGCAUGUGGUUUAAUU
rnacentral:rRNA from 1 species